rnacentral:rRNA from 1 species
UACGUAGGGGGCAAGCGUUGUCCGGAAUUAUUGGGCGUAAAGAGCGCGUAGGCGGUCCGAUAAGUCGGCUGUGAAAGUCAAGGGCUCAACCCUUGAAAGCCGGCCGAUACUGUCGGACUAGAGUCCGGAAGAGGCGAGUGGAAUUCCCGGUGUAGCGGUGAAAUGCGCAGAUAUCAGGAGGAACACCAGCGGCGAAGGCGGCGCUCUGGGCCGGAACUGACGCUAAGGCGCGAAAGCGUGGGGAGCGAACAGG